CAAUAGCGUAUAUUAAAGUUGUUGCGGUUAAAAAGCUCGUAGUUGGAUUUCUGCUGAGAACGACCGGUCCGCCCUCUGGGUGUGUAUCUGGCUCUUUCUUGGCAUCUUCUUGGUGAACGUUGCUGCACUUGACUGUGUGGAGCGCUACCCAGGACUUUUACUUUGAGGAAAUUAGAGUGUUUCAAGCAGGCAUACGCCUUGAAUACAUUAGCAUGGAAUAAUAAGAUAGGACCUCGGUUCUAUUUUGUUGGUUUCUAGAGCUGAGGUAAUGAUUAAUAGGGAUAGUUGGGGGCAUUCGUAUUUAACUGUCAGAGGUGAAAUUCUCGGAUUUGUUAAAGACGGACUACUGCGAAAGCAUUUGCCAAGGAUGUUUUCAUUG
rnacentral:rRNA from 1 species